GUCGAGAAUCUUUCACAAUGGGGGCAACCCUGAUGGAGCGACGCCGCGUGGAGGAUAAGGUCUUCGGAUUGUAAACUCCUGUCAUGCGUGAACAAGGUUGCUUGGUUAAUACCUGGGCAAAUUGAUGGUAACGCAAGAGGAAGAGACGGCUAACUCUGUGCCAGCAGCCGCGGUAAUACAGAGGUCUCAAGCGUUGUUCGGAAUCACUGGGCGUAAAGGGUGCGUAGGUGGCGUGGUAAGUCAGAUGUGAAAGCCCGGGGCUCAACCGAGGAACUGCAUCCGAUACUGCCAUGCUAGAGUACUGGAGAGGUGACUAGAAUUCUCGGUGUAGCAGUGAAAUGCGUAGAUAUCGAGAGGAAUACCAAAGGCGUAGGCAGGUCACUGGACAGUUACUGACACUGAGGCACGAAGGCCAGGGGAGCGAAAAGGAUUAGAUACCCUAGUAGUCC
rnacentral:rRNA from 1 species